GAUGAACGCUAGCGAUAGGCUUAACACAUGCAAGUCGAGGGGUAACGUGUUGGAAGCUUGCUUCCGAUGACGACGACCGGCGGAUGGGUGCGUAACGCGUAUGCAACUUGCCUCACAGAGGAGAAUAACCCGGAGAAAUCCGGACUAAUGCUCCAUACACUCUUUAGCACGCCUGUGCGUAAGAGGAAAGAUUUAUCGCUGUGAGAUAGGCAUGCGUCCUAUUAGGUAGUUGGUGAGGUAACGGCUCACCAAGCCGACGAUAGGUAGGGGUGCUGAGAGGCAGAUCCCCCACAUUGGGACUGAGACACGGCCCAAACUCCUACGGGAGGCAGCAGUGAGGAAUAUUGGUCAAUGGAGGAAACUCUGAACCAGCCAAGUCGCGUGAAGGAAGAAUGUCCUAAGGAUUGUAAACUUCUUUAGCGAGUGAGUAAGGACUUCCACGCGUUGGGAGUUUGAAAGUAGCUCGAGAAUAAGUAUCGGCUAACUCCGUGCCAGCAGCCGCGGUAAUACGGAGGAUACGAGCGUUAUCCGGAUUUAUUGGGUUUAAAGGGUGCGCAGGUGGUCCUGCAAGUCAGUGGUGAAAAGCUGAGGCUCACCUCAGCCUUGCCGUUGAAACUGCAAGACUUGAGAGUACAUGAUGUGGGCGGAAUGCGUAGUGUAGCGGUGAAAUGCAUAGAUAUUACGCAGAACUCCGAUUGCGAAGGCAGCUCACAAAGGUAUGUCUGACACUGAGGCACGAAAGCGUGGGGAGCAAACAGGAUUAGAUACCCUGGUAGUCCACGCCGUAAACGAUGAUUACUCGAAGUAUGCGAUAUGACAGUAUGCUUCCAAGCGAAAGUGAUAAGUAAUCCACCUGGGGAGUACGCCGGCAACGGUGAAACUCAAAGGAAUUGACGGGGGCCCGCACAAGCGGAGGAACAUGUGGUUUAAUUCGAUGAUACGCGAGGAACCUUACCCGGGAUUGAAAUGUAUGUGCGCCUCUUGGGAAACCGAGAGGGUUCUCUUCGGAGACACAUAUGUAGGUGCUGCAUGGUUGUCGUCAGCUCGUGCCGUGAGGUGUCGGCUUAAGUGCCAUAACGAGCGCAACCCUUAUCGUCAGUUACUAACAGGUUAAGCUGAGGACUCUGGCGAGACUGCCGUCGUAAGGCGAGAGGAAGGUGGGGAUGACGUCAAAUCAGCACGGCCCUUACAUCCGGGGCGACACACGUGUUACAAUGGUAGGGACAGAGAGUAGCCACUCGGCGACGAGGAGCGGAUCUUGAAACCCUAUCUCAGUUCGGAUCGGAGUCUGCAACUCGACUCCGUGAAGCCGGAUUCGCUAGUAAUCGCGCAUCAGCCAUGGCGCGGUGAAUACGUUCCCGGGCCU
rnacentral:rRNA from 1 species